rnacentral:lncRNA from 1 species
UCGGCAACAACCUGAAGGUCUCUGGAGCUCUGAAGCUGCUGUCUGCAUGACAAAGAGCUUGAAGCAUAAACUGGCAAGGAAAAGAGACAUACAAUGGACCCCUUCCAGAUGAUUCCAGAUGCUUCCAAAAUUCUAUCCUGCCUCCGGACAUGCUGCCAGUCCAGAACUGAUGAGAUUUCCCUACCCUAUAUGUUGUUUUUUUGCUUUUAGAUCAGGGGAGGAAGGAUGGAUUAUAUUCAUAUCUUGCUCUUUGGAAAAUAUUUCAUGAAAUGAACUUUUGUCAUAGUAAAAGUAAUUAUUUUCAAAACAUUAGAAAGACUUUAUGUUUAUGUUAGCUGGUCCUAUUGAAAGUAGUACCAUAUGCAUGUGAGUAAAAAUAGUUGGAAGACUUGCUGAUAGAUUGUUCACAACUUAAGUG